ACGUGGCGAGCUGAUAAGGUCUUGAUAAACAAAUUACAAAUGCUGUACGUAGAUCCCUGGUGGUCUAGUGGUUAGGAUUCGGCGCUCUCACCGCCGCGGCCCGGGUUCGAUUCCCGCCCAACGAGCAUCCGGGAUGGUCUCUGUGCCGAGCCUAAGGUGCUGGUGCUCCUGCUCAGGGGGAAGUUUCAAGAACGUUUGAAAUCUGCAGGACUCAAGCAAGAGGGAGGUAUGUGAAUUCUUAUCCUGUGCACGGUACCUGCAGGCAGGUGAGGCAUCUGCCUGGAUGCACCACCCUCACAGAAACGUCUCUGCAAUAUAAUACCGUAUUUCCCCCUGCAGGCCCCAUAGCAGCCAGGUGAACGACACCUGCCAGGCAGGCAGCAUGAUUGGUCAGUGUGUAAAAAUUACCUCCCCCCCUUUUUUUUUUGACUGCUCCGACAAGUUCCCACAUCUUCCUCCCCAGAUGAGCAGUCAUUUGGUGCCACGACAGGCAAUGAGGACCCAGCUGAAACAUGAUGUGCUGGUUGCCGUGGCAGACCUCAUCGCUCACAGCCUUCUGGAGCAUCCUAUGGAGAAGGUUCAACCCCCAGCUGUCUGCCAGAAGGAAGAGGGCUGCAGUUCUCCCUGGGGCCUGAGGAGCAGGCUGCGAUUUAGGGGCUGAGGGAGGACCCCUUCAUUCAUAUUGGAGUGGUGCCUGCCAGCACAUAAGACAGGAAAUACCUGUAAUAAAUGAAUACUAUGAAGUGUUAGCAUGACUGACAGGAUCCUCCCCACUGCCAGGAGUACGCCACAAGGCUUGCAUCACCCAUGGCUAACUCCUUCAGGCUGUACUGUGUGCUGGAAGACUUUGGUGUGAAGGCACAACUGGAUACAAUACCUUCUUUUGCCUUUGCCUGGGUGUGCCAGAUGGGUGCUGUGCACUGAGCCACUCUCCACUACAGAUGAGAGUGUUUCAUGAGAAGCCAGAGGUCCUCCAUUUUGUUGUUCUUAUUGUUUAUUUGUCUUUAAUGAUAAAGGAACUUCCAAGGAGUGCAAAGGGAGAGGCCUUCCUAUGCUUUAAGACAAAGCAUAAAUUCAGUUUUUGUAGAGAUAUCUUUGCAUACUUUUAGCACCACAAGCCCAGCUUUAAAGUCAUCUGAGAAAGGCUAAUCAUAUGCAAGAUUUCAGAAACUUUGGAAAAAAAGUCCCACAAAACAGCUCAUGCGGGUUGUAAUAUUGUACUAGGAAUGGAAGCGCUACCAUUCCAAAGCUUUUUCAGUCCAGUGCCAGACCUGAAAUUUGCCACUGAAGCUCAGAUAAGAAAAACCCACUUUGCAGUGAGCGUAAAACAAUCCAUGCACAAGUGUAUGGUGGAAAUAAUACAAGUAUGGUAUUUGUACAGUGGAAAUAAUACAAGUAUGGUAUUGUAUGGUUGGAAUAGUACAAACAUAGAUGGAAAUGAAUAGCUAGAGAGUAACAAAGGCACUCACCCACUCCAAGGCCUUCAAGAUAGGUGCUCACUGAUGUCAAGGCUCACCACAAGAACUCCACACAGGAGCAAUCUCCAGAAAACAAUGCUACCUUAGUGGUGGUCAGCCCUUAAAUGGGAUCUAGGAGAGGAGGAGUCAAGCUCCACCCCUUCCAGGAGCACAGCUGAAUUACCUUCACCUGUGCUCCCGCAGCUGGCUCAUUGCUUGCCUCAGGUGGUUAAUCAGAGCUUCCCACUGUUUCCCUUACAGUAAGUUUCCUGAUACUUCAGAUUCUGCUGUAAUUAUUCUUUGAAUUGAAAAAAAAAUCCAGGAUAAGUGUUCAUUUUCAGCAUGGGUCAGAUUGCUGUGGUAGUAAAAUCAGUUAUUUUGAAAAGCUGGGAGGCCAGGCUAAAGAAAGAGAACGUUCCUUUCAGCCGUGGGCUGACAGCCUGGGAUUGUUUCCAGCCCCCACUUCUGAGCUGAACCAGCACCUGGCUCACUCCUCUGAGAGCUGUCUUGCUGUGCUACCACACUGUCACUGCUGAAUGCCUGUGACAGGUUAGCCUUCUUAGAACUGUGGCAGUUGACUACUAGGGGUGGGUGCAUGGCCUUCUUGACAUUGGAAUGGUUAUUUCUCCACAAUAUAUAUAUAUAUAUGUAUGUAUAUAUAUAUAUAUAUGUAUGUAUGUAUAUGUAUAUGUAUAUGUAUGUAUGUUUAUUUUUCUGUGUAGAUGGGAUGUCUGCAAUCCAUAGGUAGAUAAAAGGAGAGCAGAGAGGAGAUGUUGCCUAAAUGUACUCUUGCUAUGGUCAUAGAUAGUUCACAAAGCUUCUCUAUAACCUGU